UAAUUUUAAAAAAAAUUGAAGAGACGAAAGUACAUUUGCCUAAAAUAGGGUUUCACCAGAAAAAGUCAUUGGAAUGACCAAAAGUGUUCAAAAUAUGAUAGUUUGGGUUGUUAAAUUGUAAAAU